rnacentral:lncRNA from 1 species
AUUGUUUUACACAGCAGAGUUUGUGCUAAUUUAUUACACAAUAUAGAAAGCUACUACAGGGAUCCCUGGGUGGCGCAGCGGUUUGGCGCCUGCCUUUGGCCCAGGGCACGAUCCUGAAGACCUGAGAUUGAAUCCCACAUCGGGCUCCCAGUGCAUGGAGCCUGCUUCUCCCUCUGCCUAUGUCUCUGCCUCUCUCUCUCUCUCUCUCUCUCUCUCUGUGACUAUCAUAAAUAAAAAUAAAAUAAAUUUAAAAAAAGGAGAUCUAAAAUUUCUGGUCACUAUAAAUCAGGUUUCACCCUUAUUUUGGGUAAUAUUUAUUUACCUCAAGAUCCCUCUUUUAUCUUAACUGAGUACAUCUUCAGGGAAUGAAAAUGUUCUCUCUUUUUUAAAAGUACAAGUGGAAAAAGCACUGCAUUAGUUGUUCAGCAGGCCAGGGCUAGAAUCCUGGUUCCACUGUUAACCAAUUCUGUGAUCUGAGACAAAGUAUAGAGCCUCUCCCCUCAAUUUUUCUCUCUCUAGUACAAUUUAAGAAUUUUCAUGCAAAGGCAUUUUUUUUUAAAAAUAUUUUGUUAUUAUUUAUUUAUUCAUGAGAGACACAGACUGAGAGAGAGAGGCAGAGACACAGGCAAAGGAAGAAGCCAGCUCCAUGCAGGGAGCCCGACAUGGGACUCAAUCCCAGGAUCAUGACCUGAGUGGAAGGCAGGUGCCCAACUGCCCAGCCACCCAGGCUUCUCCUGCAAAGGACUUUUGAGAAUAUUUCUUUUGUUUAGAUUAGUUUCACUUAUGUUAGAUGGUGGUUUAUGAUCAGUUAGUAUAAAAUUAUGAUUUUGAGAGGUCUUCACAAUCAGGCUUGUGUCCAUCUUAUAGACUCUAACUCUACCACUCUCCUUCUUUCUUACUAUUCUUCAGCCACAGCAGCUUUGGGGAUUUUUUUUUUCUGCCUCUGGAAUAUAUCAUGUGACCCUUAUCUGAGACUCUGCAUUGACCCCACUUAAUUUUCAGAUGGCCUAGUCUUCCCUGAUCUAUAAGAUGCCAGCCUAAAUGUCAUCUACUUAAAAAAGGCAUUAUCUGUCCACUGGAGCACUGAGUUUCAGGGAUAUUUUUUUCAUAGCAUUUGAAAUUUAGCAUAAGUUAUUUAAUCUAUUUAAUGUUACUAUCUUUCUUCCCUACUAGAACAUAAGCUUCAGAACACCAGGGGCAUUUACCUUUUUUUUUUUUUUUUUCACUCAAAAACCAAGGGUAGCACAAGUCUGACACCAAGUAGAGUAGAAACUCAGUAAUUGUUAGAUUGUAAGUGAAUUUAUUAAUUAGACCCACCAUCUUCAAUAGACUACUUGCCACCAUAAAUAAUAGUUAAUAUUAUCAUUUUAUUAUGGUUUAAUUUUGAGAAAGGAUUGCUGAAUUCCUUAGUAGUCCUUUGCUUUAAAUAGACUGUCAAAGAAAAAUCUCUCAAGUAAGCUUUUCUGAAUCUUUCCAACUUACCAAAAAAUGGCCCCAAUGGAACUGUCUUCCUCUGUGACAGAACCAGUCUAACAAGUUUUGGUUUGACUGAAAGGUGUUCCAGUUUCAGCUACUACAAUUAAGCUGCCUUAGAUGUCUGGGCCUUGAUUUUUAUUUUUCUGGCACAGAAAUUUGCCCUGUAGUCUCUUCAUAACUACAGAAAAAAAUUUCACUCAUGUACUCCAUUUUUAUUUCUUUUCCCCCCUUCUUCCCUUCCUCCAUCUCUUCCUUUUUUUCCCCUUCUUUUCAUUAUUCUUUCCUUAUUUCCUGCCCUCUGUCUUCCUACAUUUAUUACUAACCAGGCAUUGCCCCUAAAAGCUGGAGGUAGAAUCACAAGACAGAGAAAACCUUGCUGUCUUGGAACUCACACUCAAGCAUGGAAGACAGGCAGUAAAUAAGUGAACAGAUAAGUGAGGCAUCUAUGACCCUCUAUUAAUGAAGAGCUUUCCAGGUCAAGGGGGCAGGAAAUGCAAAUGUCCUGAGACAGCAAUAUGCUUAGCAUAUUUGUAAUGGAAAAGGAUAUCAGCCUCUUAAAUGGGGAAGUUGUUGGAAGUGACAUUUGAAGAUUAGCCCACAGUAAGACCAUUGUAGCCUCUAUAUUUUACUCUAAAUACACAGAAAAAGAUUGAAGAGUUUUGACAAGAUAAUGGCUUAACCUGAAUUACAUUUUGACAGGAUUGUUCUGCUUUGUGUGAACCACAGAAUGUAGAGUGUAGAAGAUGGAAGCAGGGAAAGCAGAUGGGGGCUCCUCUUUUGGCCCAGGUGGGAGAUGACGAUAGUUAGGAAUGUAGUGUAAUCAUAAAGAUAGUGAGUCUUGGGAUCUAUUUUCAAGGUGAGGUCAACAGAGUUUGCUUGUAAUUUAGUUACAGUGUGUGAAAAAGAGAAAUCAAGCAUGAUUCUACAGUUUGUUUUUUAGGCAAUGUGGUAAAUAAUAAUGCUAUUCAUUUGGAAAGGGAAGAAUAAAAUUAGGAUAGAAAAUCUAGAGUUCAGUGUUGACAUGUUAAGUGUGAGGUAUAGUCAUAGAGUCAUAGUUUUUUUUUUUUCUUUUUCUUUUUUUUUUUUUUAAGAGUCACAGUUCUAUAUGAAUACAGAGUUCAGAAGAAAGAUCGGGUUCAGCUAUAAAAUUUAAGAGUCCUCUGUGCAACAAUGAUGAUGUUAAAAUCCAUGGCUUGAAUAAAGUCACAAAGGGUCAAAGUGUAUUUGAGAAAAGGCCAGAAUAUUGAUUUGGGAGUGCUCCCAAAUCAGGAAAGAAAAUGAUAUUGAAUAAAAGAGAUUUAGACAAAGAGCCAUUGCAAUUAGAGGUAAAUCAAGAGUGGUUUUCCCUCAUGGUAAGGGAGUAAAUUUGGAAGGUAAAUGCACAAGGAGAGGCCACUUGAUGAAACAUUUUCUUUCUCCGUAGGUUCCAUCUAACCAUGCUGCCUUCCUGCUCACUACACAAUUAUUAUGGCUAAUUUGCCUUCUUGUAGAUUCCAUGUUCACUCCCAAAAUGAUCUGUUGACAAAGGCCCAAUCCUCUGACAACUUUAUCUGACGUAGCUUCUCAUCACAACUCACGUAAGAACAUAAGAUAUCAUUUUAUCAACUGGAUAUAUUAUCUCUUCUAUAAGUCAAGGAUAAUAUUUAUUUAUCUUUGUAACUAAGCCUAUGUUAGUCCAAUAAAAUGAUGCAUUUUAAAGCUCUUUGAACAUUAUACAGUGCUCUGUUAAUGCCAGGAUUCUUUGCUCUUAUUUAUCAAAGAAGCCAAUGGUAGUGAGGAAAGACAGAGAGAAGGAAAUGAUAAAGUUUGGUUUCUUUCCUUUUUGAUUUGGAAUGAAUGACUGGGUAUAUUUAGUUUCUGUUCCUUUUCUUUAACAUGAGUUUUCAACUUUGCUACUCAUAAGUUUAAGUCUUAUAAAGUGUUUCCUGCUGAAAUGCCAUGCUGACUGUUAUUCAGCAGCAAAUAAAUAUUGCUGUCCUCACUAAUUUGAAACAGUAUGAGUUUUAAACCUCUAGCUGUGGGAGAUUUAUUAAGAUUACAGUUUUCAUCACCAUCCCUUCAAGUCCAUCAAGAUAGGUCAAAGC